AACGGGGGGGGCAAGUGUUGUCCGGAUUUACUGGGCGUAAAGAGCGCGUAGGCGGUCUGUUAAGUGUGAAGUGAAAUCUCCAGGGCUCAACCCGGAAACUGCUUCGCAUACUGGCAGACUUGAGGAAUGCAGAGGUUUGUGGAAUUCCUGGUGUAGCGGUGAAAUGCGUUGAGAUCAGGAGGAACACCCAUGGCGAAGGCAGCAAACUGGGCAUUAUCUGACGCUGAGGCGCGAAAGCGUGGGUAGCAAACAGG
rnacentral:rRNA from 1 species